rnacentral:rRNA from 1 species
GUCGACGGGAUAUGCGAGAUGAAGUUUUCGGAUGGAAUUUUGUAUACUUUAGUGGCGGACGGGUGAGUAACACGUGAGCAACCUGCCUUCGAGAGGGGAAUAACGGCUGGAAACGGUCGCUAAUACCGCAUAACAUACAGGAGGGACAUCCCUUUUGUAUCAAAGAUUUAUCGCUCGAAGAUGGGCUCGCGUCCGAUUAGGUAGUUGGUGAGGUAACGGCCCACCAAGCCGACGAUCGGUAGCCGGACUGAGAGGUUGAACGGCCACAUUGGGACUGAGACACGGCCCAGACUCCUACGGGAGGCAGCAGUGGGGGAUAUUGCACAAUGGGGGAAACCCUGAUGCAGCGACGCCGCGUGUAGGAAGACGGUCCUCUGGAUUGUAAACUACUGUCCCCAGGGACGAAGAUGACGGUACCUGGGGAGGAAGCUCCGGCUAACUACGUGCCAGCAGCCGCGGUAAUACGUAGGGAGCGAGCGUUGUCCGGAAUUACUGGGUGUAAAGGGAGCGUAGGCGGGGAUGCAAGUUGGGUGUUAAAUCUACCGGCUCAACUGGUAGUCGCACUCAAAACUGCAGCUCUUGAGUGAAGUAGAGGCAGGCGGAAUUCCUAGUGUAGCGGUGAAAUGCGUAGAUAUUAGGAGGAACACCAGUGGCGAAGGCGGCCUGCUGGGCUUUUACUGACGCUGA